rnacentral:misc_RNA from 1 species
UGUACACACCGCCCGUCACACCAUGGGAGCGGGUUCUGCCAGAAGUGAUUAGCCUAACCGAAAGGAGGGCGAUUACCACGGCAGGGUUCGUGACUGGGGUGAAGUCGUAACAAGGUAGCCGUAUCGGAAGGUGCGGCUGGAUCACCUCCUUUCUGGAAAUAUGCAAUCAAGUUCUUACGCCCAUUCUUAUCGGCUGUUGUGUUAAACAACAGCGUUGGUUUCAGUUAAGUUUAUUAGUCGGGUUACUAAUCUAAUUGGUGCCGCCUUUAGCGAUUCCUUGCUGAAUCGAGAGGGUCUGUAGCUCAGCUGGUUAGAGCACCGUCUUGAUAAGGCGGGGGUCGUUGGUUCGAGCCCAACCAGACCCACCAAAUCAGGUUUGAAAACAGUUUGAACCCUGGGGGAUUAGCUCAGCUGGGAGAGCACCUGCUUUGCAAGCAGGGGGUCGUCGGUUCGAUCCCGUCAUCCUCCACCAUUUAUCCACGUAUUUGAUAGUUAGUGCAAAGCAUCUUCUUGGAGGAUGCUUUGUGUUAAUUGAUUAAUUUCAAUUAUUGGCUGUUCUUUAAAAAUUCAUAGAGUUAAAUCAGCGUUGCUGGCGGAAACUGCACAUUCGUAAAGGUUUAGUGCAGACCGUGCCGCCAGUAACAUAGUAAUUUUUUGAUUGCGUCAAAAGAAACUUUUGAUUUCGAAUUAACGUUGAGUUAUUUUGAUAAUUUGAAGAUACGGCAUAACGCGUCUGGUGAAAGACCAGACAUCAUUCCUUGAAAAUAAUGGCGAGAAAUCAAAGUUAUAGGGUCAAGUGAAUAAGAGCACAUGGUGGAUGCCUUGGCAAUGAUAGGCGACGAAAGACGUGAUAGCCUGCGAUAAGCUUCGGGGAGCUGGCAAAUUAGCUUUGAUCCGGAGAUUUCUGAAUGGGGAAACCCACCCUUAGGGGUAUCUCAACCUGAAUACAUAGGGUUGUGAGGCGAACCGGGUGAACUGAAACAUCUCAGUAGCUCGAGGAAAAGACAUCAACCGAGAUUCCGAAAGUAGUGGCGAGCGAAA